rnacentral:rRNA from 1 species
UACGGAGGGUGCAAGCGUUAUCCGGAUUCACUGGGGUUAAAGGGUGCGUAGGUGGGUCUGUAAGUCAGUGGUGAAAUCCCCGAGCUUAACUUGGGAACUGCCGUUGAUACUAUAGAUCUUGAAUAUCGUGGAGGUAAGCGGAAUAUGUCAUGUAGCGGUGAAAUGCUUAGAUAUGACAUAGAACACCAAUUGCGAAGGCAGCUUACUACACGAUCAUUGACACUGAGGCACGAAAGCGUGGGGAGCAAACAGG